AGGGAUGUGGGGAGAGAGAGGGUCUUCGAAAUCAGCAGCUGAAGGACCAUCCUUCCUGUUAUUGGGAACCAGCCCGCCUGGUGUCAGAGCUGAUGCAGAGGAGAGCUGAGACAUGGAGAGAGAGGCGGGUUUUUGAGGACACUGCUUGAACCCCUGAAUCCAGCCAUGCCUGAAGUGCCCACUUUGUUCAUCUCUGCUCACUGGGGGAGCCAGGACACGGAUCCAGGUUUUCUGACUCCAGGUCUCAGGCUUGCUCCAUAGCGCCACCUGCUGGUGACGGCAAUCGGUAGGCACCCAAAUCAAGACUCAGAUUUCCUCAUCUCAGAAGUUGUCCACUUCUUCUCCGACCUCCACGGUAACUCGGAACCACACCGUGGAGUUAUCCCUGUGUCCUCUUUCUCGGAAGUUCCACAUCCAACCCCUCAGCAGGUCUCAGCGGCACUCUCACCACCUCCUCUGCUCUGUUCCUGUUUCUCUUGGAUGGUCGAAUGUUUCCUAAGGAGUGUCUGCUGCUUCACGCUUGCCCCCUGGAGUGGCAUCUAAAAGGAUACCCUACAACUAACAGGCAUGAUGCCAUCAAGACAUCUUGAGCCUGGCUACCUCCCGUGGCCUGUAUUUUGUCCACAGGAAACUCGCGCAGUCUCACUACAGCAAAUUGAGGUGGUAUGGGGUGCCUGCUGCUGCCUCUCUCUUCACCUUUCCACAGAGGGCUGCCCCAGCCUGACUCCCACUUCCAGAGUUUCUCCAGCCAGGAGAAUCCUGAAAUCUCUGUAAAUAAGCAAUCCAGGAGCCAGAGAAUCAUGGGAUCUCAUAUAAACAAAUCAUCAAGGAAAAACACAGCCAGAGUCUCCAUUUGGUAAACCUCCGUGACUGGGGAUCCCCGGCCACCCAGAAAGCAGUAUUGCCUGCCAUGCAUGUCAUCACUGAUUUUUACUGCUGCAGCAGACUCCGUCAGACCUGCCUGCUGCUUCAGCGAAUUGUUCAGUGCACACCACCAGCUACCUGCUGUAAGCAUUCACACUCCUCUACCUGCCUGGCAGCAUUUCUCAGCUGAACACAGGCCAGGCCAGAAGUGCCAGGGAUUUAAUGCCCUUAGAAGUAGCUCUCUACCAAUGACAAAUGGAGCUGGUGGAUACAUUCUCAGCUUCCUCCCCUCUCAGGUGGAACAGCCCUGAGAUGUGCUCUAUGCAAUCUCCCACAAGUCCCCAGCAGGCUCAAGCUCCCAUUGUCCAACCCUGGUAACCUGCUCAUUGACACCCCUGUCUUGCCUUCCCUUCCUGGCCUCACUUUCUCACUCUCUUACUGUUGCCUCCUGAGAUCGCAUCCAAAAUAAAUGACCUGCACCCA
rnacentral:lncRNA from 1 species